rnacentral:rRNA from 1 species
UUUGCCUACGGGGCGCAGCAGUGAGGAAUAUUGGUCAAUGGGCGGGAGCCUGAACCAGCCAAGCCGCGUGAGGGAUGACGGUCCUAUGGAUUGUAAACCUCUUUUGUCAGGGAGCAAAGGGCGCCACGUGUGGCGUUUUGCGAGUACCUGAAGAAAAAGCAUCGGCUAACUCCGUGCCAGCAGCCGCGGUAAUACGGAGGAUGCGAGCGUUAUCCGGAUUUAUUGGGUUUAAAGGGUGCGCAGGCGGAAUGUCAAGUCAGCGGUAAAAUUUCGGGGCUCAACCCCGUCGUGCCGUUGAAAC